UACGAAGGGUGCAAACGUUGCUCGGAAUUAUUGGGCGUAAAGCGCACGUAGGCGGCCCAGCAAGUCGGAAGUGAAAUCCCACGGCUCAACCAUGGAAGUGCUUUCGAAACUGCUGGGCUUGAGUACAAAAGAGGAUCGCGGAAUUCCCGGUGUAGAGGUGAAAUUCGUAGAUAUCGGGAGGAACACCAGUGGCGAGGGCGGCGAUCUGGGUUGAUACUGACGCUGAGGUGCGAAAGCGUGGGGAGCAAACAGG
rnacentral:rRNA from 1 species